CCUGCCAAAACCAAAGGUUUGUUAAAGAGUCACCAACCUUUGUGAUACUGUGACAACAGAACUAUUCUCUUGGAUGCACUUGUUCACUGUGUCUCCUAGGCCAUCCUGUGAGCCAUUCUGUCCACAUGAGCACUUCGGAGAAAAAGCAAUCCCAGUGCAAGUUGGGCACAUGUAACCAGUUUCCAUAAGACUAUCAGGACACGCUCCCUUUGAAUAAAUGGCUCAUUUUGCAUAAAAUUCUCAUGUUUAAAGUUAACCAUUUGAUAGUACUCAUUAACUUAACACAUCCGUCAUUGCUUUUUACCAAGCAGCCCUGGAACAAAGGAUAAAAAUGGCUCCUCUGGUUAAAUGUAAUCAGUAUGCAACCCAGCAUCCCGGAGUAAGAGUUGCCCCAGUUCCCAGAGCUGCCACAGCUUGUCAGAAGGCAGGGAAGAGAACCUCAUUCAUACCAGUGGCUUUGGGCAGAACAUUUUUAAAAAACAAAACCUCCUACCUUUUUGAACUGUAACAUUUUCUGUUUUUAUAAAUACUAGGAUUUAAAGCCAGAAAAAAAAAAAAAAAAACAGAACUGGGCAGAGGAAGGGGAAAUUUUUAUGGCAAAAAGGGAGGAUGCAAACUACAUUUAUAGUUCAUAAAAGUCUGGCUCAUCUUCAGUGGAACUUAAGAACUGAGAUAGAUAAACUACCUAAGUUCUUAAGUGAGACAGUCUGAGGAAGCACCCAUCAAAGGCAGUGGGGACUAUAAAUUCUUCCCACCCUGAAGUCCCACAGCUAUCUAUCUAGUGCACAGAUCAAGCUGAGGAGGGAAUUGGCAGAGCCGGCCACUGGUCUGUAGAAGUCCGCAGCCACUAACCUUGUAGUGUUGUGACCUACUGAAUACUGGCAAGGCCAUUCUGGAAGAAUUAGGAACCUUUACAUAGAGGUGUUUUAGUUCUCAGAGUUGCGGUAAUGUAAAGAAUUUAAACAGGGCCCAGAAAAAAAAGUAGCUAAAAGCAUAAAAAGUUGUAAAAAGCUACAGAAAGCAGACAGUAGAAGGGCCUGCUAGAGGUGUAAGUUAAGGCUUGUGUUAGAGUUUGGGUCGUAUAGUUUUCAGCCUGAGAAAGAAAAGCCUUUAAGAUUCACUGACAGAUGAAAGCUGUGCACCACUAGGCAAAGGCCAGAGUUCUGAUGAUAUCAUUUGAUGGGGCCAGAAUUCAGCUGGAGAGCUUUGAAUAUACAAAAAGGCUUAAUUGCUCCUGAACAGCAGCAGGAAAGCCCGUGUUGUGAAAGGAACCUGGCCAAGGAAUAAAUUGACCUCCUGACUCAUUUUGAGCCUCUCAUAGGGGAUUUUAAUAAUGUGCCAGGCAUAUUAAGCAAUUAUCCCUAAAAAAAUGACUGCAUUUAACCAAGAAAAGCAAUGCUGAUUUAAAAAAAAAAAUCCAAAACUUGCCAUAUUUGAAUAUACUCAGUGAUGUCAUCUACAAAUUAAUUCCUUCCAGAAUUCAAAGGAGUUCUGUUUCUAGCCUCUAAGGUGAGGGGCACUUUAUAGAGCUGGAAAUACUGCUCUUGGUUUUCACAGCAGGAGGCUUUGGAUUGGGACUGCGUUAGGUUCUGCUUUGAGCAGGACAGCUGCAGAAGACAGUCCAACCAGUGCCUCCCACGACUCUUCGCCUACUGAGACAGUUUUCCAGCUCUCAGUGCAGGGUCUCUAAAUGUCCUGCGGCUUCAGUCUUCACUGGGGAGGGUCAGGUCACGGACACAAGAAGGGAGUAGUUAAAACGAGCUGAAGGUAAGGGUAGGACAAAGCUGUACUGAGAAAGCCCAGUGGGGUCUACUCUGCACAGUACCAGAGAGAGGUGUGAACUACUCUCUGCACAGUACCAGAGAGAGGUGUGAACUACUCUCUGCACAGUACCAGAGAGAGGUGUGAACUACUCUCUGCACAGUACCAGAGAGAGGUGUGAACUACUCUGCACAGUACCAGAGAGAGGUGUGUGUGUGUGUGUGAACUGGGUGCUGUUUAUUGAAUGGCUGUCUUGAAGGACUGCUUUGUGUUUCUGCCUCUAACUGCCAUUCCUUUAUCCCUGGACACUAGCAGGUUUUGAUGCUUCCAUCUCUUAGCUUGUUGAGUUCAUCACCUCAACCUUCACAGCUUCCAACAUGCCGAUUGGUGUUACCAGGUCUCAGCAGCACCCCCCCCCCAUCCUCAAACAGAAGUGCAAAGGAGGAUGAGAAUUAGGUAUCAGUAAAAGAUGAAUCACAUAGCUGAAGAUCUAAAGUAUUUCUAUGCCAACUAAGAAAAAUACUGGUCACAGAUAUUUCUUGGGGUUUGGAGGUUUCUCCAGGACUAAGGACUUGAAGACAAUGCUACUGUCCUUUGCCAAAUUCUGUAGCCAGAUCACUGCUGCUAUAAUUAUUGUCAACUGGAUCAGAAGAUUUCUGGCAGAUCUAAUAAAGUCAGCCUGGACAUCCGACCCCUGUUUAUUCCCAGAAAGUCAUCAACUGAAAGCUGCAGUGUAGUCUUGGUGCCAAGCCCCAGCUUAAAGCCUGACUGAUUACAGUCCAAGAAACAGGAGAGAUCUUAGGAGAUGUUGUGGUUGGCUGCUUUCCAUCUGCUCAGAUAAUUCUACCCAAAUAAUGUGAGGGAGACAAGAUCCUGUAUCGGGAAGAAUCAUGAAAGAAGGAACUGGGCAGGUCCUGCUGGGGGUAGUUCUGUAACCUUGAUUGUCAGUCUUCAGUGCCCAGUAAGGACCACCCUAUCUCAUAUGGGAAAA